rnacentral:piRNA from 1 species
UGGUAUUCUGGUCUCCUGAAGUCAG